rnacentral:rRNA from 1 species
GACGAACGCUGGCGGCGUGCUUAACACAUGCAAGUCGAACGGAAAGGCCCUGCUUUUGUGGGGUGCUCGAGUGGCGAACGGGUGAGUAACACGUGAGUAACCUGCCCUUGACUUUGGGAUAACUUCAGGAAACUGGGGCUAAUACCGGGUGGGAGCUCCUGCUGCAUGGUGGGGGUUGGAAAGUUUCGGCGGUUGGGGAUGGACUCGCGGCUUAUCAGCUUGUUGGUGGGGUAGUGGCUUACCAAGGCUUUGACGGGUAGCCGGCCUGAGAGGGUGACCGGCCACAUUGGGACUGAGAUACGGCCCAGACUCCUACGGGAGGCAGCAGUGGGGAAUAUUGCACAAUGGGCGGAAGCCUGAUGCAGCAACGCCGCGUGCGGGAUGACGGCCUUCGGGUUGUAAACCGCUUUCGCCUGUGACGAAGCGUGAGUGACGGUAAUGGGUAAAGAAGCACCGGCUAACUACGUG